AACAGGGUGGGGUAACAUUUCACUCAGUCUGUUUGCAGUUGACCUGGAUGUCUUGUUCUUUAACCUGCUUAUUUCAUUGCUUAACUUGGGUGGAUAAAUAAAAACACUCAGAACUUUUGAGACUCGUACCUGGAUGUUUUUCGUUCGCAGUUUGGAGAGCUAGAUAACCAGUAUAUAACUUAAGAAGCCUUGAGAAUUGGACAAUGGCUAACACAAAUGACAAUAACCCACUGUCAAGUGAGAACUUGUUAACAUGCCGAGUCGAGCGCUGUAACAACGUUGGCGAUUGCGUGAUUCAGAAUGGAUCGUACGUUUGUGACUGUAUGCUGGGCUACUUAGGAGACUCAUGCCAAGGAACGGUCAAUAAUGGAAUAGCCGCCCCACUCACUCUUGGAGUCUUGGCUGUCAUCGUCAGCUUCAUUAUCCUGGCGUUUCUUCUAGCAUUUAGCCGGCAAAAGAAGAGGGAACGUUUAUGGGAAAAAACCGAUGAGGAAAGGGAGGCGCUGAAAAGGAAUGGAGAUGUUUCGCAGGCAUAAAUACUGUAGUAAACUGGUGACAGGAUCAGGGGCACGCAAGGCUCAGCUAUACCUGUGGGGACCAAAGGCCAGCCCGUCUGGUCCGAUCCCACAGAAAAGCCGUCAGUGCUGGCUAUGAGAGAAAGGUAUCAGAACACUCAGUGCAUCACACCUUGCAGAUAUUAAUCUGAUCAAUCAUGGGAUGUGCUUGGCAAACAAGUCUGAUCCAUAGAGGCUCCAACUUGGAGCACGUACAAUGGAUCUGUUGCUAACAGCCUGAUGCAGACACCACAGCACACCUUCAGUAGAAUUGUGGAGUCAUGCCUCGAGGGGUCACAGCUGUUUUGGGGGUGCAUGGUUUUAAUAUUUUGGUUGAUCAGUGUAUCUUCUCCUUAAUAAAACAUCCAUCUGGGCAACUAGGAAUAAACAGAAUGUGAUUAGAUAUUGAAAUCACACAUGGGGACACACUUAUUGCCAUAUGAUAAUAUUGUUUUAAUAAUGUGUAGAUCUCAUUGUAAUAGCCUAAUAUCCUUUUUGUUUGACUUUUUUUUUUUUAUUGUAAUUGGCAGUAAAGACAGAUGGAGAUCCUUCCCAUGUGGAGAGCGUGACGAAUUAUGCUCUUUUGGACUUGCUGGGAUUGACCUCUCAGUUGCUUAAUGCAUGAAUGAUUAGUGAUUUUGCAGAGUUAAAUAAUGAUAUAAGAUCUAAAUCCUAAUUACUUGUCACAAGACACCUUUAUGAGAUAUCUUAUGUUUUUAUAAUAUUUAAAAAUAUUUUACCUAAUUGCAAACCGUGAAAACAGUUGACCUGGUGUUAAAUUUUUGGUUGCAAAUCUUAAAUUGUACAAUAUAAACGUUUUUGUUUAUUUGAUUUUCUAUAUUGUUAAAUGCUUUGUUUUUGUAAACAUUAAAUAUUAUCACAUCAUUUUUAAAAAGGAUUUUUAAUAUCCACUAUAGUGUUUAUUUUCCCUAAUACCCACCUAAGUGGGUGCUUUCAUUUUCUAUUUAUUCAGCUUAUUAGAAAAAAAAAUAAGUAAAAAGUUUUGUUGCGUGUAAAUAUUUGAGCAACUUUUUCCAAUACUUUGGGACUACAAACAUAUGUUUAAGGCUUUCUUUCCAAUACAAUAAGAAACAUCUUUUAAAAUAAGACCGCCUUUAGAUACUUUAAGGGGAAAAAAUGGUAGGGAUUUUAAGCUGUCAUUUUCCUGAAAAUGUUCAAUGUUCAAUAGGACCUGCUUCCUGAUCUCAUUUUUCAGUUUUGUUCUGUUUUUGUCACCAAAGGAAACAAAGUUGUUUUUUGUACGUACAUAUGCAGUAUUUCAACUUCUGCAAAAAUGAAUGCUUAUCACCAUUGUUUGGUUGGAAGCAGGACUUUACAGCGUAGAGAUGAUGGGUGUCCUGUUACUUUGUGCUCCUUGGAGGCUCCAGUUGCUAAAUGCGAAAGACGGUCUUUAUCCAUUUUGCCCAAUUUUUUUUUUUUGCUCCAUAUUUUUUUUCAAAAACAUUUUCUCAAUUAAAAAGCAUUUUGAAAUAUGUAUCUUGGGUUGAAAACCCAAAUGUUAAAUUGUGCACUCUCAACAAUCUAAGGCAUUAAGACAUUGCCAGUGUGGGUCCUACAGUAUUUGCACGAAAUGUCAAGUAUUUAAAAAAUGUGUUUUGCUUGUCUUUAUGUAGCUUCAAAUCUGACUGGUUAGUUUAAACCAUGCUGCUCUUUUUAUUGGUUUAUAGAAUUUCCCACUCUGUAUUGGGUGGUUUGAGCAGCUCUUGAAUUAUGUAUUUGAGGCAAAUUAACACGUUUUAGUGCAUUUGAGUUUUAUAAGGAGAAAAAUUUAAAUAUUCGAAUUAGAUGGUCUACCGCGUUCACAUUUGUUUUCUGCACAUACAAACACAGUCAAAAUCUGGCUAUGGGAAUAAAUUGUUGACAGCAUUUCAUGUUUGAAAUUUCAAGUUUGCCUUGUUAUAUUCACUACCUUGAUUUGCUUUUAAUUAAGAAACAAUUUUAACAUUGUCAAAUUGCUGUGAUAUAAAAUGAGUCUAACUCUUUAAACAUGCUAUUAUUAAAUAAAUAAAAUACAAAAAAUAAACCUCAUGUAUAAUUUU